UGCCUCUGCCUCCCAAGUAGCUGGGAUCCCAGGUGGUCAUGUGCCAGUCUUCCAGUGGCCUCGGGUUCUUCUUGCUGUCAUAACUGGUCUCCUGGGGCAUCAACAAAGACAAAACAGAGAAAUCCUUCUGUAAAAAGAACAGCAUUUAUCCCCAGUGGCUUCUCACAAGCUUUCGAAGGGAAAAGGUGGAAUGGGUCACUCCUCCUAGAGCGAGUCCAGCCCAUGCUCAGGAUGCGGAGCCAUUGGCCAAGGGAUCCCGGGCUCCAGCAGUCCCGCUCCCCUCCGUACCUUAACAAACAUGAAAAACAAGUGCAGUUUCUUCAUGGGCCCCAACUCCACCCUCUCAGGUGGAAAUGUUUCUUUGGAGACUCAGCGUUGGCAAAGUUUCUCCCACCAGAUGACCAGGGCUGCCCGGGUGUCAGUGACGUGGCCGGUUCCUCUGAGAAACAGCAAAGACUUUGUCACGAAGGUGAUUCAGGUAUCAGUGUCUACGUGAAAGGAAGGACUUCUCUCACACUGAGGGCGGUGGCUUUCCGAUCGCGGGUAAGGGCCUCCCCACUACAGCAGCUCUGUCCGCUCCGUCC